rnacentral:rRNA from 1 species
AUGCUUCUCCUAAAGACUAAGCCAUGCAUGCCUCCGACUAGAAGAGCAUCUCUCUGAAUCUGCGAACGGCUCCGCAAACCAGUUGUAAACUAGGGCAAGCAGCCCUUAGGCGAACCGCAAGGUGCUGCCUUUGGGCAUAGGGAUACCCCUGGUAAUUCUGAGGCUAAUACAUGAACGCAACACCCGACCGACCGGGUAACUGGAAGGAUGGGGACUGUGUGAAUGAGUCGCAGUUUUGCUGGGAAACAGUCGCAUAGCCAGACCACCAUACCAAACGGUUCCUCCUUACGACGGCCCUUCGGGGUACAGUUCGGGGGUUCUGGGUGGCUCUUGACGAGUGCUUCUGACCUAUCAACUAGAUGGCAGCGUAAAAGACAUGCCAUGGUUACAACGGGUACAGAGGAUAAGGGUUCGAUCCUGGAGAGUGGGCCUGAGAGAUUGCUCACACUUCUAAGGAAGGCAGCAGGCGCGCAACGUUCCCAUUGGGCAAUGCCCGAGGGCGUUAGGGGACAUAUGAAUGCCUGCCUUUUGGUGGGCAAUUCAAAUGGGACUGUUCUAAACAGCCCAU